GAUGCCUGCCCGGUGACCUGACGUUUAACGGCCGCGGUAUCCUAACCGUGCAAAGGUAGCGCAAUCAAUUGUCCCAUAAAUCGAGACUAGUAUGAAUGGCUAAACGAGGUCUUAACUGUCUCUUGCAGGCAAUCGGUGAAAUUGAUCUCCCUGUGCGAAAGCAGGGAUAAACCCAUAAGACGAGAAGACCCUGUGGAACUUCAAAACCAGCGGCCACCCCAAAAUACAUAACCCCCCACUGGGCUCACUUAUUCACUAAGCCACUGGCCCGCGUUUUUCGGUUGGGGCGACCUUGGAGAAAAACAAAUCCUCCAAAAAUUAGACCAUCCCUCUAGACUGAGAGCAACCCCUCAACGUGCUAAUAGCAACCAGACCCAAUAUAAUUGAUCUAUGGACCAAGCUACCCCAGGGAUAACAGCGCAAUCUCCCCCGAGAGUCCGUAUCGACGGGGAGGUUUACGACCUCGAUGUUGGAUCAGGACAUCCUAGUGGUGCAGCCGCUACUAAG
rnacentral:rRNA from 1 species